rnacentral:tRNA from 1 species
GUGAGAGUAGCUCAGUUGGUUAGAGCACCUGACUGUGGCUCAGGGGGUCGCGGGUUCAAAUCCCGUCUCUCACC